AGGGCAUGAACCAGUGUGGGCAUCAUCACUGUUUAAAAUGGAUCCCAGAGUAAGAGCUGAGAAGCCUAAAAUUAUGGAAGGGGUAUAAUGGGAGAAGAAGGGACCAUCACUACAUGCAGACAUGGGAAUAUGAUGGCAGACAAGAGAGCAGAGAAGUAUCAAAUCCAUGAAGAAUGUUAAGAUGGAAGACUUGGACCUCAGAGGAAAAGGACCUACCUAGAACAGUCCAUGUUAGGAACAACCAAAGUCUGAAAGUCUUUUGAAGAAUAAUAUUUUAUUCUUUAAACUGUACACAUUAGCUCCUUGGGUUAUUAUUAAAUACCAA